CUCUUCGCGCUCCCGCCGGCUGCUACUUCGCCCGGGCAGGCGCUUGUGGCCCACACCGCCGCCGCCCCGUCAACCGCGGCUGUCGCGCCCUCGGCCACUGCGCCGCUUGUGGCGGAGGACGUCGCGCUGGCAGGCUUCGCGGCGUCAACCGCGGCCAUCGCGCCCUCUGUCACCGCGCCGGCUGCCCCUCUGACUGUCUCCACGGUGGUCUCACCUCAGCCAGUCUCCUCGAUGGGAUCGCAGCCGCCGCCGCUGUUUCACUUCGGCCAUCUCAUCACCAUCAAGUUGUCGUCGGACAAUUACAUCUUCUGGCGCGCGCAGGUUCUUCUGCUUCUUGGGAGUCACUAUCUGCUUGGCUAUGUCGACGGCUCUCUCCCUUGCCCUCCUGCGCUGGUUGACAGCGUGCACGGUCCGGUCUAUAAUCCGGCUCACCGUGUCUGGACAGGGCAGGAUCAGGCGAACCUCUCCUCCAUCCAGGGGUCGCUCUCUCCGGCCGUUGCUGGGCUUGUUGUCUUCGCCAAGACGUCCCACGAGGCAUGGACUAUUCUUGAGCGCUCGUUUGCGGCACAGUCGCAGGCUCGUGUAUCUGGGCUCCGUCGCCAACUUGGGGAGUGUCAGAAGCUUGACUCCACCGCCACUGAGUUCUACAACAAAGUCAAGAGUCUCGCCGACACGCUGGCCUCCAUUGGACAGCCCCUCACCGACUCCGAGUUCAACUCGUUUAUUGUCAAUGGUCUUGAUGAGGAGUAUGACGCCCUAGUCGAGAUCAUCAAUGAGAGGGGCAACUCCACGCCCAUGCCAGCACACGAGGUCUUUUCACGCCUCCUGCUUACUGAGCAACGAGCCGAGACGCGCCGAUCCAGGGGCAACGGCGCCCUCUCGGCAAACGCCGCCACCAAGGGUGGUCGCUCCUCUGCUUCAUCCAGGGCUCCUUCGGGGCAGUCACCACCACCCGCCUCGGCCCCUCCUCCUACUGCGACGCUACCAGGGGCUGGCGGUCCACGUGUGUGCCAGCUUUGUGGUCGCGAUGGGCACUGGGCCUCGAAGUGUCACAAGCGCUUCCAGCGGGGUUUUCUUGGUCUCGGCAAUGACGGGAAAGAUACACGCAACUUUGCUCGUCAGGUCGCCAUGGCUGAUCGUCCGCCGCCGCAGAAGCCACAGGGACACACUCAGUCCUACUCCAUUGAUCCUCACUGGUACAUGGACUCUGGGGCGACAGAGCACCUGACC
rnacentral:rRNA from 1 species